UCAAGCGAGAGUUGGAACCUAUCUUCCCCUUAUAUUUUUCCUAUAAAUAGGUGCUAUUGGCCAGUGAGAAACCCAACACUUCCAAGCUACAAACCCAACUCUCCAUUUUUCCAACCUAUCUCUCUAUUUUCCUUCUUAUCCCUUCUCACCACUCCUAUUUCUUCUAUAUAUGCAUAUAUACGAUACUAAAUCACUAUUCUUCAUCUUCUUCUCUUUUUUUUUUCUUCUAUAUAUGUGCCUUUUCUUUUUUUAUUUUGAAUGUACAGGAUGUGAAGAAAUAUUAGAAAAAGACGAAGGAAGACAAUAGUUGAUAAGGUUGUUGACAGAAGAUAGAGAGCACUAAUGAUGAUAUGCACACAUAGAUACAUGAAACUAUAAAAUAAUUGCAUCUCACUCCUUUGUGCUCUCUAGGCUUCUGUCAUCCACCUUCACUAACCUCCUUACUACUCUUUCCACUAAUCAAACGAACAGUUUAGACUCGCAGCAGUUUUGGCUGUUGUAGAUCAUGUAUCUGUUCUUUGAUGGUAUGAAAAAGCUAUAGAGCGAGAAGAUGAACGAAAGAACGAGAUAGCUUGACCAAGGGUUGUAAUUCCUUCCAUAUAUACCUUUUAGGAAGCUUGAUUAUUUACUUUACAUAAGUGUAAUCAUAACAUAAUGUCUUCGAUCAAUUCGAAGCUUAGAUUAGAUACAUAUUGGUUUGUUUUUCUUAUUUUUCAUAUACAUGAAAGAGUAAUAAUACAUAAUUAAUACAUCUAUAUAUCAAACAUUUCAUCUAUAUAUACCUAUGUAUUAUUUUUGCUUUUCUCGCAUCAUUUCAUCCAUUAUACUUACAUUUUUCUUUCUUCUUACUCUUUUUUCCUCUAGAUGUUAAAUGCCAGUGUCCGCCAAUCUUUUUUUUUCUAUCAUUUAGCAGUUUUUAGAGUUUGCUUGAAUAUUUACCAGAUCAUAAUUGAGGUAUAAAUUGUCAUGUGUUUUUCCAUGAAAAAAAAAACAGUGUGCCAAUUAACGUAAUUCGCAGCGAAGGACGAGUUACUACCACUUACUGGCUUGGGGAAAAAACAAAUGAAAUGGGAAUUUUGUGCAUUGGAAGAGUAUAGAAGGAAGAGAAAUAAUGUACGGAGAGAAAAUGGGCAUGACAUUACUACCCCACACUUGUUCACUGAUUCGCAAAGCUGAUUUCUGCAUCAGUCAAUGAGUCUACGGAUUACAAAGGGGAUCAAGGCUUCUCAUUGGAGAUUUCAUAGUGUCAAUAAUUCAAUAUAUCUAGUCACUAUUAGUUAUGAUUACUCUCAUUCAUCUAACUUAAUUAUAAUUAUAUUUAUGCUUGGGUUGUUAUUAUCA